CAUUCAGCCCUUUUCAGGGCUAUACAAUUUUUAAAAAAAGACCUCA
rfam:Oikopleura dioica, whole genome shotgun assembly, reference scaffold set, scaffold scaffold_534